CUACUAUUUUUCACACAGUAAGAAAUCUCAAAGGCAAAAGGAAAGUGUAUGAGUUCUUUGAGUUUGCUGGUAAAGCAAAAACAAAAACUUUAAGGGUUAUUAUGUAUUUUAAACUUUACAUUCAUCAGAGACUUUUAGAUCACUUUAUCAGAAGAUAUCUAUCUCUUGGCAAAAAUAUUGUUCUUAAUUCUCUCAACCAGAAUACAAAAUAUAGAAAAUGUCUAAGCUAUAUCCUCAUUGUUUCCCGUGUAUUAAUUCCACCUACCCAACUAAACUGUGAGCAUCCAGAGGACUUUUCUGGAUUCCCAAAGCACAGCACAAAUCUGAGUACCUGGCACAAUGAAGGCUGAUCUGCAUACAGUAGUGUCCAACUCAACAAGGACAAAGACAACCAGAGCUUUGGUGAGAUAAGCAACAGGAAAAUGAUAAUCAUUGGCCUGAGAUACAAAAUGCAACAGGGGGCAGUUGACAAAGGCAAGGACAAAAAAAGAAUACAAGAGGAUCAAGAAAGAUACAUCACAUACUGCAAGGUUAUAAAAGCAGGAAGCAGGGCUUCCCUGGUGGUGCAGUGGUUAAGAAUCUGCCUGCCAAUGCAGGGGACACGGGUUCAAACCCUGGUCCGGGAAGAUCCCACAUGCUGUGGAGCAACUAAGCCCAUGAGCCACAACUACUGAGCCUGCGCUCUAGAGCCCGCAAGCCACAACUACUGAGCCUGCGAGCCACAGCUACUGAAGCCGGUGCGCCUAGAGCCCAUGCUCUGCAACAAACAGAAGCCACCACAGUGAGAAGCUCGCGCACCGCAAUGAAGAGGAGCCCCCGCUCGCCGCAACUAGAGAAAGCCCACGUGCAGCAACGUAGACCCAAGGCAGCCAAAAAUAAAAAUAAAAUAAUUUAUAUUAAAAAAUUUAUAAAAACAAAGCAAGCAGAAAAAUAUGCAUAAUAUGAGCCCACAUGUGUAAAAAAAGAGAGUAUGUAUAUUCAUAUUAUAUAGAAAAUAUAUGGAAGAAUAUACAUGAAACUAAAUAGACAAUUACCUUCUCUACCAUGUCUUUAUUUUAAUAGCACAUUCAUUUUUUUUGCUAAAAAUUUUUUUAAGGAAAAAGUAUCACAUUUUAGGAUAGUGAAUUUGACAAUGCUAUAAUCAGAGGAAAACACAGAAAACUUCUUACUCUUUUCUGUACCUGUUCUCAAGAAAUGCUCUUACAUUUGCCCCUACAAAAAUACAUCAAAUCAGAAUAUAAUUGUGGUUACAUCACUAUUUCACAAAAGUAACAUGAGACCAAAAAAGAAAAAGCAAUGGAUCCAAUGAAAAACUGCCUGGAGCUGUAAAAUAAAAGCCAGUCAUGAAGGAUGAGAAAAUAAUAAGAAGAAGAAAAAACCCAAACAACUAACCUGACAACCAAGGAACACCAUUAAGUGCCAAAAAGUGAUUUCGAAUCAUAUACUUAAAACUUGAGGUUCAAUUCAAGGAA